rnacentral:rRNA from 1 species
GAUGAAUGCUGGCGGCGUGCCUAACACAUGCAAGUCGAGCGGCAGCGAGGGGCGCUUGCACCCUGUUGGCGAGCGGCGCAGGGCUGAGUCACGCGUAGGAAUUUGCCCCAACGUGAGGAAUAACUGCCCGAACGGGGGGCUAAUGCCGCAUAUGGUCUUCGGAGUAAAGGAUUUAUCCGCUUUGGGAGACGGCUGCGUUGGAUUAGGUGGUUGGUAGGGUAAUGGCAUGCCAAGCCGACGAUCCAUAGCUGGUCUGAGAGGCUGAUCAGCCAGACUGGAACUGAGGCACGGACCACACUCCUACGCGAAGCAGCAGUGAGUAAUCUACCACAAUGGGCGAUAGCGUGAUGGAGCAACGCCGCGUGAAGGAUGAAGGCCUUUGGGUUGUAAACUUCUUUUAUGAGUGAAGAAUAUGACGGUAACUCAUAAAUAAGCACCGGCUAACUACGUG